rnacentral:lncRNA from 1 species
ACUUUAGAAAUGGAUUAGAUUGGGGCUUGCUUUGUUUUCUCUCCAGUGGCUGAGGUUCGGAGACUCCCAUCUCCUAGCACUUAACAUUCCUGCCCCGGCAGCGCUACUGCUGUAUAUCGCUUACACUCCCUGCUGACAUUUUAUGGGGGGUUUAAAGCAGCAGGUGUGUGAGAUAGAAGCCGUUGUCAAUCAUUGUGUUAAAAAGGCUCCACCUUUUCAAAUGCCUAAUCAGCCCUUGAUGGGUUGCAGCUGACUGCUAACCAGCCAGCCUUUGAAGCUUUCAAGGCAAACAGCACUGCCCCACUUUGAGAAGCAGUGGGGGACGCUAGAGAAAGGGGCAGCAGAGAAGCCCAGUCAAGGCCACGGCACCACCCUCUCAUGUGAAAGGGGUGGGGAUGCUGAUUGACCAGAGGAAGUCAGCGUGACAUGCGUGGCUUUGCCUCCAGACUGUUGCCAUUCACGUGGAGCUCAUCACCUGGAAGCCUCUGUUCAAGGGAAAGCAGCCCUAUUUAGGACUGGAUUUCCUCCUUAGAUAACCCAAGGGAGUCCCCUCUGAGAUUCUGGGCUCCUCCGUGGGGUGUAUUAAAUGGAAGAGGAGUAACUCACCCACUUCCUAUUAGGGUCCAGCUAGGCUGCGGGAUUGCUUGUAUGUUUGCCUGCUGACUCAGCUGAGUUUCUGAGGCUCUGUCAGCCACCCUCUCCUCUUUUUCUCUUGCAAAGCUUUUGGGGACAGUACCAUAAGCAAUGCUGCGGCAGAAAGUGCUCGGCCCUUUAUCAACUGCCAUAGCCCACCCAACACGAGCUUUUUAAUUUCAACAACUUACAUAGUCUUACUCUUCUAUAAAAAACUCUCAAAUGCACUUUAAAUGUCCCCUUUUGAUCCAGGCUGCAGUCCCAGACUCUGCCUCUUUAUGAGUAUCAGCAUUGCACCAAAAUCAGGCUACCACGCCUCCAAGUCACACUGAGGAGCACUGGGGGGGUGUGGCUUUGGGCCCUUAAGGAACAGUUUCCCCUCCCCUUGAGGGUGAAGGUGGGCCGUAGCCCCCUCCUAAGCUGCCUUCUCUUCACCCAUUCACUCAACAAAUAUUGGUUUAUCUUGUGCCCAGCCCUGGGACCCACCUGGCGUCUCAGGACCUCUCCUCAUGUGUGUUUUUGAAGGCUUGUUUAAUGCUAAAUCUCGAAGAGACUCUUGAAUUCACCUAGACUCAAGGUAAACCAUGUGACCUGUCCAAGGCCACGGCAAGCGAGUUGGCAGGUCAGGUGGCUGGACUGCCUCCCGACCCUGUGGGAUUUCCAUGGCCUCCUGGUGGCCUAGGACAUUAGGACUUCAGCUUGAGUCUGAUCCGACUAGAAUGCUUCCUAUUACAGGAGCAAAGAGGAUGUUGAGGCACUGAGGAGCUGGUGGGUGAGUGCUGUCUCCGGCCCCAGGAGAGGCAGGCACAGAGCUGGUCCCCUAGCAUGGCCCCACACCAGCCAGAACCCUGAUACCUGAGGUGUUUAUCCUCCCCACAUUCGGGGGUGAUGUUCUCCUUGAUGAGCUGUGCAGCACAUCCAGAAUGUUUUUGGAGCUGUUAGCUAUUACGUCCUAAAGAAUAAUAAAUUGCACGCUGUGGCUCUGCUUCUUUCCUUC